UUUCCUCCUGUUCUUUAUCAAAGUCCCCAAAAUAAGCAGGAAUGGGCAGUGACUAGGCAUGGUCUCCAUGGAGUAAUUAGGGCCUGCAGCAGCACACAGGAGCACUCCCUGCCCAGCUGUGUGCGGGAGAGCUGCCUGCCACCACCCAGCAUGGAGCUUCUGGGGACUGCCUGCCUCCUCCUUGCUGCACUCUGUACCUGCGCUCUGGGUCAAGGUGAAAUUUCAAACGUUACUGUCAAUGCAUAUGUUUCUACAUCGAUGCCAAAAACUGAAGAGAAAGCUGUGAACAUGAUCACUUCAAGAGCAAUGACACUGCAAACAACAGAGCUGACAACCACUACAGCCUCAACUAUGACUGUGUCCGUCACAACAAGCUUAGGCAACACAACUAUUCCAGCUAAUGCCACAGAAGGUACAACACAACAUACAAUAGUGCAGCAGCCAGCACAAGUGACCCCUACAGCAAGAAGUGAGAGUGACAACACAACAAGUGCUUCACAAGUGAAUGGAACACAGUCCACACAAAAUGAGAGUUCGAGUGCUACAACUGCUAAGACAAGGACUUUGUCUCCUACAGCCUCUUUACAAGAAAACACUACUGCUCCUGGAACCUCAAAACUUUCUGUGAGCACCCCGGCAAUAAAAAAAGAGGGAAAGGAAAUAUUUGGGAAAGCAGACGAUUUUGGCAGUCCUGGAAACAGUUCCGAAAACACGAAAGCGUUGGAGGAUACUAUCCAUUACUCUAGUGUUAUCCUGCCCAUUGUCAUUGCCCUGAUUGUCAUUACCCUCUCCGCCUUCUCGCUGGUGGCCUUGUACAGAGUGUGCCACAAGAAAACUCCAGAUAGACAAGAGAACGGUACUGAACAGGCACAGUCAGAUAAAGAAGGUGUUAAACUUCUGUCUGUGAAGACAACUUCUGCUGAGACUGGAUCCAAGUGCAUCCAUUCAGCAGUAUCUCUAUGUUACUGAAGCUUCCCCUGCAACCCCAUCUCCCUUGCCAGAUAAGCAGAGCAGGUCAGCAGAGAGCAGCCUGCCAAUAUGCUGUAUGCUUGUGAGUGGUAGAAAACCUAGAAGCUGCUUCAUAGAAGACUGUACUCCACCAUCAAAGAGUUAGAGCAAGAGAGAAUCAGGGGAAGAAUAAAACUCGACAGUGUGAUGAUUCCUCUUCAAACUUCAGCAGUAAAUACAUGUGAAGCAUCCUGGUUUAACACAACGUGCAGGAACAUCCCACCAAGGUUGCAAUGCCACGGGAACUGUGGAGCAGCUGAAGCUUUUUGCCAGGCAGGACACUUGUGCUAAUGACCAGCCCUUGACUCCUAAGCCUUAAGUGCUUCCUGUGCCUUCUGGAAUGAUGUGCUUUUUUGAUGGCUUAAUAACUGGUAUAUCAUAUGUAUUUAUUAUGUUCUCAUAUAGUAGAAGCAGGAAAACUCUCAAGAAGGUUGAAGAACGUGUUUGCGUAGUCAUUAUUACAAGAAUUUUCUGCACAUACAGGAAGGAAUGUGUUAGCAUACUUUGUUAAACUUACGGUAUUUAGGGUUCUUUUAAUUGUAUGUAGCAAAAUACAAACAUGGCCUGAUCCUUGAAACAGUACUGGGCCAACUGCCACUAUGAAAGUUAAUUCAGUGAUUUCCUGGAGACUCCUUACUGUAGCAUAUGCUUUACUUGUCAUAAAUGUUUACAGGAUGGGAUGCCUGGGUGAAAUGCUGAAGCGUGUGCUUUAUUUCUGUGAAUUGGGGGAAUAUGCCUUGCACUGAGGUUGGUGGUUUUGUUUUGUUUUUUGAAGUUCUAUAAAUUGCUGAAUAUGGUCUUUGUAAUGUGGCAGGCAACACAGUUAAUUUUCUCCUGUUUCUUGGCUAACCACUGCAUUGUGCAUGCUGUGAAUGACUCGUCUGCAAGCUGAGGUGCAUGGUGGGGAUCAGCAGGAAAAGCAAUUCUGCAGCUGAACCCUAUAUUUGGAGUACUACACGGGAUUCCUGUUGGCUACCGAAUAACUCUGGAAGUUUAAGGAGUGUUUCAAGUGAUGAUUACAGAUGCUUAAUUUGUACAGAGCUGAUGCUGCAAAAAUAUCAAGUAGUGCUUCUACCUACAUGUAUCCUACUCUGCUAGAACUGUAAAUGCUAGAAAAUUUUAUUAAUGUGAGCAUCUGCUCAUCCUCAGUCCGGCAGUGUGCUGAGAAGCUCCAUCGUUGUAAGGGGGAAAGGAAAGGAGACAAUUGGUGUAAGUGUGGGGCUGAGAGCCAGGCCAGCAAUUUGAGUUGUGAUACCAUUGAUACAAUGCUCAUGAGGAAACUUCUCUCUCCAAUUUCCCUCUGUGGGGUAAGAAAACUUAACUAGCAGUAUGGCAAGAGAUUGAAUGGAUUUUUUAGUUCAUAUUUAUACACAAAGAUAAAGCAUUCAUUUCCCUACUUUUGACCAUUGCUCUUAUUUCAUCUGUGAUGGAUCUAAUCCUGUGUCUUAGUAGCGCCAAGAGAAAUUCUGAUGAAGUUUUGUAAAAGUUGAGGAAUGAACAAGGGCGCUCCAUGCUGCAGCUGAACAUCUAUGGUCUGUUCGGGUGCCCCUGGAUCACUUGGGUUGCUCCAGAGCAGAGCUGUGUACCUGCUUUAGGAAGGUCAGGUUGCCUAAAAUACACCAGAUAUCAUCUGCACCUACUCAGAUUCCUGAUUGCUGAAGUUUCCAAUGAAAAAAGAAGGCAAUCAUUGUGCAUUUUCAUGUUGAUUUUAGAAAAAUAUUUUUGUAGCAUGUUGCAUACUACUGAGAGGACAGUAGAAAA